UACGUAGUUAGCCGGUGCUUCUUUACCCAUUACCGUCACUCACGCUUCGUCACAGGCGAAAGCGGUUUACAACCCGAAGGCCGUCAUCCCGCACGCGGCGUUGCUGCAUCAGGCUUCCGCCCAUUGUGCAAUAUUCCCCACUGCUGCCUCCCGUAGGAGUCUGGGCCGUAUCUCAGUCCCAAUGUGGCCGGUCACCCUCUCAGGCCGGCUACCCGUCAAAGCCUUGGUAAGCCACUACCCCACCAACAAGCUGAUAAGCCGCGAGUCCAUCCCCAACCGCCGAAACUUUCCAACCCCCACCAUGCAGCAGGAGCUCCUAUCCGGUAUUAGCCCCAGUUUCCUGAAGUUAUCCCAAAGUCAAGGGCAGGUUACUCACGUGUUACUCACCCGUUCGCCACUCGAGCACCCCACAAAAGCAGGGCCUUUCCGUUCGACUUGCAUGUGUUAAGCACGCCGCCAGCGUUCGUCCUGAGCCAGGAUCAAACUCU
rnacentral:rRNA from 1 species